AGUCUGGCUGCUUGCUACCUGUGCACAGGCUUCCUGCUGACCAGGUCCAGCUUCCCCCCUACCCACUUCUUCCUGGCCACCUGGGAGCAAGUGGGCCCCUAGGAGGAGGACAGUCUUGGGGCUGCGUGGUCUGGAGAGGAUAUGGAGACUUCAAUGAUUUUAAUCUAGAGGAUGCGCUGAAAGAAACUUCCUGAGUAAAGCGUGACUCAAACAAACGAGUCCACCAAGCAAACACAAGUGUUCGGCCAUGCACCACACUCACAAUCUUGCCUUCAGAAAAGUACAUGCAUAUGAGACUAGCUGCACCUCCAUCUACCUGUUAGUUCUGUUGUGCAAGGCUUGUGUCGUCUCGUCAUACGUGUGUCAUCUUCCUUUUUCAUUUAGUCUAUGUCGAAACCACAAGAGAACGUGCAUCUGCCUUCACCUUUUUUCUGCUGUACAAAAAGAGAACUCCUACCCGUUUCAUUCCUCUCACUGUUUUGUUUUGAGACAGGGUCUCUUGAUUUAGCCCGAGUUGUCCUGAAAUUCUCUGUGCUGACAAGGCCGGCUUUGACUUGGAUCCAGUGCUAGAACAACAGUGACUCUUGUCCACUGAUGCAUUUCUAGCUUCAGAACCCAUGACUUUUUAUGAUUCUUCAGCGUGAUCCCCACAAUGGCCUCGGGGACCGAUACCGAGACCAUUCUCACGAUGUGACUUCUGUAAACCAUAAAGCAGCCAAUGUGUUUUACAAUCUGCUUCCUUUCAUCCUCCCACCUCCCUUCAGAGAGCCACUUUAGCACCACGACUAGGAGGACAGGAACUACCAAAGCCCCAUCAAAUCCAGCAGGUAACGAGGUGUGGGAAGUGAGGAAGGCCAGACUCACCUGAGAAGGGACACAAGGAGGGACUCGUUGGGACUCCAUCUGGGACAGGGUCAAAAGGAGCCAUGUAGAAUUUUUAGCUGCACAUAUGAAAAGUCAACAAAGGCACCCAUGUGAAUGUUAGAUUUAAUUCAACAGAAUCCCAUCUAGUUGGUCACUGUGCCUUCUGGGAAAACCAGGCAUUUCCACUUCCUAUUUCUUUGGGUGACGAUGGCUGCCAGAAUCCAGGUAUAGGAGGCAGAAGGGGUGAGCUGGACUUGACUGAAGACCCAGCCUAUCCCCAUAGCUUCCAGGUUAAACAUGAGCCAUUCAUAGUCGAGCACAGUGGGGCAACCUGAGGCCAAAGGAGAAGUCUUCAACGAAGAUAUUCAGAUGUUUUCUUGAAAUUCUCUUAAGUUUUUGAAGAUCUCAGGAGAGUUUGUGUAUGUGGGUCACAUCUAUAAAUACUUCUCAUCUGAGAACUUAGAACUAAAAACUGAUAUUAAUCUGAGGAAAAUAAAAAGUCAUAUGCAUUGACAUAUGUGGUGGGUUUUUAUGAGAAAUAACUGUGCUUAUAAGGUGAAAUAUAGUUUAGAGUAAUGAAUGACAUUAUUUUAUAGUUUUCUGUAAUGUCUGGCUUCAAUAGAAUGCAUCUGGAUUCUGUGUGUGUGUGUGUGUGUGUGUGUGUGUGUGUGUGUGUGCAUGCAUGUCUGUCUUUGUGCGCCUGUGUGUGUGUCAGUGUGUGCGUGCAUGUCUCUGUGUGUGUAUGUGUGUGUAUAUUUGUGUGUCUGUGUGUGUAUGUGUGUGUGCAUGUCUCUGUGUGUGUAUGUGUGUGUAUGUUUGUGUGUCUGUGUGUGUAUGUGUGUGUGUGCAUGUCUGUAUGUAUCUGUGUGUGUUUGUGUGUGUGUAUGUGUGUCUGUGUGUGUAUGUCUGUCUCUGUGUGUGUGUGUGUGUUUGUGUGUGUGUGUGUGUGUGUGUGUGUAUGUGUGUGUGUGUUACUGUGAGACAGACCUAGGAAUCACUAUGUAGACCACACUUUACUAGACAGACCAAACUGUCCUCAAAUUCACAGAGAUCUGUCUACCUGCCUCUACCUCCCCACCCCUCAACCCCUGUGCUGGGACUACAGAUGUGUGUUACCACUCCACCUGGAUUUUUAAUAUCUGCAUCUGGACUGAGCAGUUAUAAGUUCCUUAGGUACAGUACAACAUGCGGAGAAAAUCCAGACUCAUGCAGAUGUGUAGGAGGAAAGGGGAAAGAACUCAAUGUGCUUUUAUUCUUUAGUAUUUUCUUAUUUAUUUAUUUACUCCCUUUUUGUCCAAAUUGCUGCCAGUUUCCCUGCUCCAUUACAUAGUCUCUCCUUCUAUCUCUCCCCUUCUCCUCAGAAAGGGUGGAUCCCCCAGGGUUUCUGCCCCCACUCCCCACCCCCCACACCUAGCUGGCACAUCUAGCCUCUUUGGGGCUGGAUUCAUCCUCUUCCACUGAGGCUAGUAAGGUAGCCCAGCCAGGGAAACAGGAUUCACAGGCAGGCAACAGCUUUAGGGACAGCCCCUGCUCCAGUUGUUUGGGCACCCACAUGAACGAGCUGCAUAUCUGCUACAUAUGUGUGGGGACCUAGGGCCAGAUGUCCAUGCUCCCUGGUUGGCGAUUCAGACCCUGAGAGCUCCAAGGUGUUCAUGGUUCUUUGGAGUCCGUGUCCUCUUCUGGUCUUUCAGUCCUUCCUCCAGCUCUUCCAUUGGACUCUCCUAUUCUUUGAAUGGAUCAUUCACAGUGUCCUAGUGCUGUGCACUGGUCACUUGGAAACACUGAUACCCCAACCAAUGCACUAUGUACUAUAUUACAGAAUCACACCUACUCAUUGAACAAAGCAUUCAGUAAGUCAUACGGGGUGGCACCACCUGUAAUCCCAGCACUGUGGAGGCAAAUUUUUGGGGAGAAUACCAAAAGUUUGAGGAUAAUCCUGUUCUGUGUUGCAAGUUCCAGGAUACUCAGGGUUACAACAGCAAGAGCUCUUGUCCAAAAACAAAUAAACAAAUAAAUGAUGAGUAAACCAAUGAUUUAAAAAACCACUAGAUAUUGAAAAGCUUUUCAUAUCAUAGCCACCAGCAAGUUUUCAGAAAACUCUGUCUUAAAUUCCAAGUUUCGUUACUGGCAGCAGAUAUGAUCAGGGAGCCUGCAGGGAUAGUUCAGUGGCGCAAAGCACUAGUGCCUGUGUGGCAGCAUUCCUCUUGGAGGCUCUGCGGGGAGUGAUUUCUCCUUUUGCCAUCUACAUUCUUUGGCUUAUGACUAGUUUGUUCAUCUUCAAAACCAUGUAUAUGCCAGUGUUUCCUUUCUCAGUUUGUCUAUUUUUCCGUAUCUGUAGCCCAGGCUGAUUUGAAACUUGUUACAUAAUUCAGGCUGCCCUCCAAGUCCUCCUCCUCCUGAGUCUGCCUGUCAGAUUCUGGGAUCAUAAGUGGGCACCACCACACUUGGUUCUCGUGGAUCUUCUGUGCAUACAGUCCUGCCACCUACAGACCAUUUUCAAUAUCCUUUCUUCAUUCUUGCUAGGCCUGCUGGUACUGUAUUGAAUAGAAUUGGUACAUUGGACACGGUUGUCUUGUUCCUCGGGUUAGAAGGAAAUCUUUCAGUGUUUCCCCCUUGACUAUGUGCCCUGGUCCCUCAUCCUGUGUGGUCCUCAUUCCAUUGGGUGACAUUGCUUUCAUCUUAGUUACUUUUCUAGUUGCUGUAAGAAAAUGCCAGGGUGGAAGCCGCUUAAGGGAGAGUUAUUUUUGCCCAGUUUGAGCGAUGAUGGCGUACACUCAGCUCACUCCAUCACCUGUGUGCAGGCUAGGAUCUCAGACCGAAGAACCAUGUCAUCUCCCAUAGGUGCUUCUUUUCAACACAGUUUACCGAGUCAAGAUGAUCUCCUACCAUAUUGCUGGAGGCCUGUCUCUCAGGAGGUUCUAGAACUCAUUGAGUUGACAACUCCCGCUAACCACUCUAGCUUCUAUGGCUGAUAUGUGGAGGAUUGUCAUCAAAAAGAUGUUAAAUUUUGUCAGUUUCUCUUUCUAUACCUACUGACAUGAUCACAUGAUUUUUAUGCUUCAUACUUUUAAUGUUUAAUGAUUUAAUUUAUGUUGAGCAAUCCUGUGUCCCGGGCAUAAAUCCAGUUUUCAUUAUAGGGUGCAAUCUUUUAAAUGUGCUGUUCAUUCUCUUUGCGAAUGUAAUGUUUCCUUGAUUUUUGCCUCUAUUCAUAUGUAGUUUUGCUUGCUUUUGGCAUUCUUGUCUGGAUUCGCGUGAGGGUCAUGCUGUUCUCAUGUAGUGAAUUUGGAAUUAUUUCCUCCUCUUUAGAUCUGCAAGGAUUUGAGAAGGAUUAGCUUUAACUUUUCUUUGAAUUCAUUUUUAUAGCCUUCUCUUACCUGGAUAUUUCUUUGUUGGGAGGUUGUUAAUUAUUCUAAUUAUCAUUCAUCCAAUUAUAUUUUGAUUUUUCAUAAUCACCUUAAUAGUUUGUGUGCUUCUAGAACUCUAUCCAUUUCCUCUAGCAUGUCUGAUUUGUUGGAAUACAUUGUCCAUUAUAGUUUCCUUUGUACCUAUUUAGUAUUAGUUGCAAUGCCUCCUCUUCCAUUUAUAAUUUUGAUCAUUAGAACAAGUUUUGAAUCUUGUUUUCUUUUGUCAAAAAGCCAACUCCAAAUUUCCUUUCUUUCCUCUCCUCCCCCUUGUUUUUCCCUGUUUGUUCUGAGGAAAACCCUAGGACCUCUAAGUAAAUGCAUGCUUGCUUCUGAGCUACCCCACCAGCCCACAAGAACCUUAGCUCCAUUAAAGCUUCCUGAUGGUUUUCUUGUCUAGAAUCCUUUGUCCUCCCUCCUUUCUACACAUCCUAUUCCUGUGCCACUUCUUCCUCUUCCCCCCUCUUUUGAGACUGAAUCUUACUAUGUUGGCAAGCAGUCCUAGCUGGAUCUCAAAUGCCAGGUCCUCCCCAGGUGGCCUGCUCUUUCCAGCUUCGUAACAACUUUUUCUCUUAUGGGCUGUGUUUCUGUUGUCGAAUAUCUGAACUCUUUACUAAGCAUUCAAUUCUGAAACACUUCCUUCUGAAAAUUUAAUGGUUUAAUAUUUAAGCAAAUGGAACCUAUCCAUUCGCAGUUAGUUUUAUAUAAAAUGAAACCCAUUGCUUUUUGUUUUGGAAGUUUAUUUAUUCCAGCACCCUUUGCUGAAAAGAUUUCUUGCUCCCUUGAGUUGCUUUGCAUAUGUAUAAAAAAAUCACUUGAGCAGAUCUGAGGUCUUUUGAGCUCUUCAUUCUGUUCUGUUGCCUGUAUCUAUCUAUCUGACACAUCUUUGAUAAAUGUUGACUAUAAAAUAUUAGGUAGAGUGAUUCAUCCCACUUUAUUCUUUUUAAGGAUUAAAAAAGACAAUCUCAGGUUCUGCUGUCCCCAAAAAGUUUAGAUCAAAUUUGACUCUUUCUGGAAAGAAAUAAUCAGUGGGACUUCUAUAGGCUUUCAUUGAACAUAGAGAGUGUGGGAGCUGAUGUUGCCAAUCUGGUGUGUGUCUUUAUUUGGAUCUUCUUGGUUUUAUACCUUUAGGUUUACUCUACGUUUAUACUAAUUUCCCUCACCUCUGCUUUAAAUACUUUGCUUUCUGAGACACUGCUGAAAUGAGUUCAAUAACAUCGACAUGUAAUAGUGAUGACAAGGCAGCGUCCAAUCCAUCACUCACAAAAUGCCACAGUAGAUCUCCUUUACUCUUAACCUGGGCCCCAUGUGACCCCACUGAAGUGGAUAGUAAAACUUACAUGUCACCUUCCAGUGACGUAUUCCCAACAAUUGGCCUGUAGGGUCAUAUCACGUUUGACUACAACACCCAUUUGUUUGUUGUUCUGUGACGGUGCAAGUGAGUUGUUCAGAAAUCCUUGUUGUUUUUUCUUUUCAUUUCUUUCUCCCUUUGUUUUUGUUCUUGUUUCUUUAGUGGAGGGUUUCUUUCUCUUGGCUGUCCUGGAACUCACUCUGUGGACCAGGCUGUUUUCAAGUUCAGAGAUCCUUUUCCCUCUGUUCUGGAGUACUGUGAUUAAAAGAGUGCAUUGCCAUAGAUCAUAUGAAACUGAAGAAGGAUGACCAAAAUGCAGAUGCUCCAUUCUUUAAAAGGGGAACAAAAGUACCCUUAGAAGGGGAUAGGGAAGAAAAGUUUAGAGCAGAGUCUGAAGGAAGAGUCAUUCAGUGCCUACCCCAUAUAUGGCCCAUACAUAUACAGCCACCAAACAAGAUAAGGAGGAUGAAGCAAAGAAGUGCAGGCUGACAGGAACUGGAUAUAUUUUUUCCAAAAUGUUUUCUGCUGAGUGUUGAGAAACUAGCUUUUUAGAUCUUUGACCCACUUUUAGUUGAUUUUAAUGUACGGUAUAGCAUGAUGGUCAAAUUUUCUUCUUUAACCACUUUCACUUUGUAAAGCAGUUCUCUGUACAUCACAUAAAUGCUAGCUUAUAAAACAAUUCUCUGCACACUACAGACAAAACCAGCUCAUUCAUCUCUGGGCAUCAUAAUCUGCUGUUCAGUUAUUGCACUAACAGUAGAGGAAACCGUAGCUCAAAGGUCUCGGGGAUCGUCUAGAAUUCCCUACUCCAUGUGUGCAGCAGAUCUGGGCUCAUGUUCUAGCUCUAGUCAAGUGGUGAGAUGUGGGUCUCUCUGUCCCCAACCUAUGAAGAAUGGUUAGAAUCUCCCUCACUUAAACCUGUUCUAUCUCUUUGCCAUCUUUCUCCGGGUAGUUAUGAGUUUGUAUAGGAGCUUUAAUAAGUACUAACGAUGGUCUAUUCACAGUGUGACUUCCUUAAACUAUGAUGUAGGUAUACAUUUUAUUAUUAUUUAUUUUUUUAUUGCUGUUUUCCCUCCUACUUUCAUAGAGAUGGGACCACAUCACCACUACUACAGUGAGAGGGCCAGGAACAACUAGAGCACCGUCAAAUCCUAUGGAACUUGAUGGGUUUGACUUGGAAGACUCCUUGGAUGAUCGGAAUGAUCUAGAUGGCCCCAAAAAGCCAAGUACAGGAGAAGGAGGAGGUUGGUCAGACAAGGAUCUUGAAGAUAUCUUGGGAGACGGGGAAUAGAAA